AGUCGAGGGGCAGCAUUUCAGUUUGCUUGCAAACUGGAGAUGGCGACCGGCNCACGGGUGAGUAACACGUAUCCAACCUGCCGAUAACUCGGGGAUAGCCUUUCGAAAGAAAGAUUAAUACCCGAUGGCAUAAUAAAACCGCAUGGUUUUUUUAUUAAAGAAUUUCGGUUAUCGAUGGGGAUGCGUUCCAUUAGGCAGUUGGUGAGGUAACGGCUCACCAAACCUUCGAUGGAUAGGGGUUCUGAGAGGAAGGUCCCCCACAUUGGAACUGAGACACGGUCCAAACUCANACGGGAGGCAGCAGUGAGGAAUAUUGGUCAAUGGGCGCAGGCCUGAACCAGCCAAGUAGCGUGAAGGAUGACUGCCCUAUGGGUUGUAAACUUCUUUUAUUAUGGGAAUAAAGUUUUCCACGUGUGGAAUUUUGUAUGUACCAUAUGAAUAAGGAUCGGCUAACUCCGUGCCAGCAGCCGCGGUAAUACGGAGGAUCCGAGCGUUAUCCGGAUUUAUUGGGUUUAAAGGGAGCGUAGGUGGACAGUUAAGUCAGUUGUGAAAGUUUGCGGCUCAACCGUAAAAUUGCAGUUGAUACUGGCUGUCUUGAGUACAGUAGAGGUGGGCGGAAUUCGUGGUGUAGCGGUGAAAUGCUUAGAUAUCACGAAGAACUCCGAUUGCGAAGGCAGCUCACUGGACUGCAACUGACACUGAUGCUCGAAAGUGUGGGUAUCAAACAGGAUUAGAUACCCUGGUAGUCCACACAGUAAACGAUGAAUACUCGCUGUUUGCGAUAUACAGUAAGCGGCCAAGCGAAAGCAUUAAGUAUUCCACCUGGGGAGUACGCCGGCAACGGUGAAACUCAAAGGAAUUGACGGGGGCCCGCACAAGCGGAGGAACAUGUGGUUUAAUUCGAUGAUACGCGAGGAACCUUACCCGGGCUUAAAUUGCAUUUGAAUAUAUUGGAAACAGUAUAGCCGUAAGGCAAAUGUGAAGGUGCUGCAUGGUUGNUCGUCAGCUCGUGCCGUGAGGUGUCGGCUUAAGUGCCAUAACGAGCGCAACCCUUAUCUUUAGUUACUAACAGGUCAUGCUGAGGACUCUAGAGAGACUGCCGUCGUAAGAUGUGAGGAAGGUGGGGAUGACGUCAAAUCAGCACGGCCCUUACGUCCGGGGCUACACACGUGUUACAAUGGGGGGUACAGAAGGCAGCUACCUGGUGACAGGAUGCUAAUCCCAAAAGCCUCUCUCAGUUCGGAUCGAAGUCUGCAACCCGACUUCGUGAAGCUGGAUUCGCUAGUAAUCGCGCAUCAGCCAUGGCGCGGUGAAUACGUUCCCGGGCCUUGUACANANNGCCCGUCAAGCCAUGAAAGCCGGGGGUACCUGAAGUACGUAACCGCAAGGAG
rnacentral:rRNA from 1 species